CAAUCUGUGGGAAGCCAUGCUCACUCAGGGUUCUUGUAUGAGCACAGCUGGCUGGACAUUAGCUCCUCCUAACUCGGUUUGGCUGUAGAUUUCUCCUUGUUGUAUGCUUUGGAUGGGGGCAGUAUGAGGGAUAGAGAUGGCAGUGUGGACAAGGAUGUGUCUCCAGGAUUCUCUUCUGCUGUUGGAGGGUCUCCUAAUGCUCUCCUUUGCUGGGCCUUUUCGUCCACGUGGCUUCUGUAUCCUUGCUUAGUGAUAUCACCUUCAGGGUGCCCAAAUCCCAUUGGCUCUUUAUAUUUGCCCACUUGUGGCCUCUCUCUUUGCCUUUGGGGCCUUGCUUAGACCUGACUUGAAACCUCUCCCUACAGCUACAUCUAUGCCAUACCUGGCCUAGUUCUUGCUUCUUUAUCUACUCACCACCCUCUUGCUAUACCCAGGGGAAUCCAAAGGAGGUAUCCAUGGAAAGAAAGGAGGGUAGAAAGCAGGCAGGAGGAGGAUCCAGAGGAGGUAGCCAUGGAAACGAGGGUAGGAAGCAGGCAAGAGGAUCCAGAGGAGGUAUCCAUGGAAACGAGGGUAGAAAGCAGGCAGGAGGAGGAUCCAGAGGAGGUAGCCAUGGAAACGAGGGUAGGAAGCAGGCAGGAGGCCCUAGGCCCAGUCUGAAGCACAUUCUGACAUCUGUCAGUUACCUGCCAAGAGCGGAUCUUCACGGGGUUUCCCAGUGUUGUAAUCAGUGUGGGCUUGGAGGUAUGCGGGACAUGGUGAACUGUGAGCUGGUUGACCCAGUACUCAUAGAGUGUUGUACGGUACUGGCCCUGGAGAGAUGUAAAGCAUAAGGCCACCACACUGGGCACACAGCAUUCUCCUCCCCUCUUGCUACAACCCUGCAUGCAGAAGUCAGACCUCAGAUGAGGAGCCAGGCGUUAUGGACACCUCAGACCUGCUUGGAUCCUACAAACCUCGGACCCUUGACUAUGAAAUGAGUCAUGCCUGCAAUGUCUUCCCAAAGGAUGGCUCUGAUGAUGAAAUGGGGGCACACGAUGAAGCAUUUUAGAGCAUUGUCUAGCCUGGGCGCACAUGUGUGAGCCUUUAUCUACUUCCAAUUGGGGUUCUGCUGGCUCGAGUGCACAGCUGUGUGCCUGCUCAGUACCUGUAUGCUACAGUGAGGGAAGGAAGGAGAGCCUCUCCACAGUUGCCCUCGCAGAGGUCAUGGCUUUCAGGAACCUUCACCGGACAGUAUCCUGGGCCCUGAGAGCUGCUGCUUGGUCCUUCUUUAUUACACUCCUCCAUGCUGUUCUUCAGAGAGGCGUCCCAGCCAGAGCUCCUAGGAAAAGUCAGUAUCGUUUACACUCGGACAGCCUCUGAAUCAGCCCAGUUAACACCAUGAUUCACAGAUGGGUUAACCUGCCUCUCUGCCUCAAGUCCAAGUCUUCUGUUCAUGGGGAGCACAAGAGGACAGACAAUGCCAGGAGUCCCACAGGGGACAAUGGCUCUCCUUGAGAGUCAAGGGUUGAGAGAAGGAAACUCUGUAGAUGCCUCUAAUGCAGUGCCUCCCCACCUUCCACUCUUCCCCUUCAGUUAGCCAGCAAGGCCUGCCUUCCCUGCUGUGGGAGAUGAAGGGGCAGACUCAGAGCUCACCUGUCCAGUGAAAAGUUUUCAUAGCGUCAGAACCAGGUCCAGUGCCCCAGCCCAGACCUGUCGGGCUCUCUUCUCCUCCAUGUGGGCACAAGGCCACGAUACCCAUCCCACACCUGUGCUUACCCACUCCAUCUCUCCCAUAACCCAGGAAUCAAAGGACUCUGUGAUCUUGCCAAUAGUAGGCCAAAUAUAGCCCUCCAUAGGCCCACAGAUCCUCCUAUAAGCCACAAAGUGGCAUCCACCGACCCUGACUUAGAGGGUCAGCUCAGCUCAAGGAAUGCAUACCCUCUUGUCUUCACAAAGGGAAUAGCAGGUAGCCCUGGGCCCUGGGCACAUCUACCACCUUGAGGAGAAGGGUUUGCAGGUCAUUAUUAGCAAGUCCUUCCAAAACUACUGCUGCUUUUUUCACUACCCCAAAACAUUAUCAUCAAGAGCAAUCCUUUAAGCAGGAGAAUGUUACAGUAAAUCAGAUAAGUGUGCGGGGAAUGACAGGUUUUCACUUAAGGAUGGCUCAGGAAUAAAAAGAAUGUCUGCAGUUACCUCAAUAAAAAUUUCAAUAAAAAAAAAAUCAUGAGUGCGCA